AUUUAGUGUUUUUUGCUCCGUCACCUUACUUUAUCAUUUACCUUUUCUUGUGUCCUCUCUUCUGCUUGAAUCUCCCUCUAUCUGUCUCCCUCUCCUGUCUCCCUCGCUCUCUCUCAUCCCUCUCUUAUGUCCCUCUCUUCCACUGUCUCCCCCCCGCCCCCUGUCUCUGAGAGUCGGUUGCCCACCCCAAAUCAGCAAGCUGCUGAAGGAUUGUAGGAACCCAUGGAAUCGCCGUGACCACGGAUGCAGGCAGGCAGCCACGGCAACGCUGGAAUGUGGGGCGUCUGAGGAGAUAAGAGCUCAGGCUAUGUGUCUGCUGAGGAAUGAAUAGGGACCAAUGGGAGGUUCUGAUCAGCAGCCUGGGGCUCCACUGCCUAGGAGCUCUGGGAUUAGGGCUAAAUCCUGCCCUGCCAGAUGGGCACCAGCACCACAUCAAUCCCACCCACCACCACCAACCUUAGACCUCAGGGCCAGGCCUUGCUCCCCCUGGCCUGCACUGGGCUCUGUGGACCGGACAAUAGGGAGAUGGAACCCCUUCGGGAGCUCAGAAGAAAACAGGAAGUCCCCAGUGCAGA
ensembl:lncRNA